GGAUGUUGUGCUUUUCGAUUGCUCCUAUGCUGGUGAUGGGAAGUUGCGAAGUUGCACUAGUUUUGGCAAAUACAUAUGAAAUACAUGGUAUUUACUAGGUCAAGAGCAUGCUGCGUGAGGGGAAAGAAGUGUGUCCCUUCGCAGAGGAUAGUUUCAGCCGCUUUUUCUGUCCCAGAGUAACACAUGUACGGACUCUGCUGGCUGGAGAGCAAGAGCUAACGUUACUCACCGCUACUCUGAAAGGCAAAGUUGUCUGUUUCAUGUACCAAUACCUCCAACAGAAAAUCAGACCUGUUGCCAAAGAAGUACAUCUACAUACCAGGUGAAGAUGAGAUAGCUCCGUAAUGUAUCCUGCUACUGUUGCAUUAUUGCUACACUGGUGAACUUGGUUGUGACAGUGAGGUGUGCUCUCGUUGAUGCAGAGAUUGUAUCAACUGAUGCUAUCAACAAAUCCCCACCAAACAGGGGGCUGGUCGUAGGCAUAACGUCCAUCAAGAUAUUCUUAAAUUCCCUACCCUUCUCCUAGACUCUGGUGACAAAGCCACUCUUUUCCUCAACAUCUACUGUGACUACAAGCCAUGAGAGCUGUCUGAACCUGGAGCUGCAGUUUACCCCCUUCCAGCUUUACCACAAAGAGUAGUAUUGUACACACUACCGUGACGCAAUCUCAAUCGCACUCCACACUGCCCUUUUCCACUAUGUGAGAAUGCUGUUCAUUGACUACAGCUCAGUGUUCAACACCAUA